GUGUGUAACGUGUGAUGUGUGUGUGUGUGUGUGGCAGGAGCUGGUGCAGUACUAUCAGGAGAACUCGCUGAGAGAGUGUUUUAAGGACGUGGACUCCAGACUGCAGACGCCGUACAAGCAGCCGGAGCAGAGCGCCGCGCCGCAGCACAGCAGCACACGCCACGCAGGUGUGAGCGAGCGCUACCACGGCACGGCUAAAGUGCGUUAUGAUUUCUCUGCACGUGAUCGAACCGAGCUCUCUCUGCGGGAGGGAGACACUGUCAAAAUCCUCUCCAAGAAAGCUCACAACGGCUGGUGGAAAGGAGAGGUGUACGGCAGGGUGGGUCUGUUUCCUGCUAAUUACGUGGAGGAGGAGCAUUCAGAUUACUGCUGACCAAUCAACAGCUUCAUCACCCCAACAACACACUCAUACGCCCAUACUCUGUUUACAGUCUCACCUGUGAAUCCAGUCAAGCGUCCGCAUCAGCAGGGUUUGCUGACCUGCACAUACAGAUGAUUUCAUCCUUUCACUGUAGACUCCAGCUCGGAGUGAUUUCAUUCAGAUUACGAUUAACGGUUGGACGGGUUCAGAAGAGCUCGUCAGUAUGGAUGUAAUGAGCUGUUUUUUCUUGAGAUUCUGAUUAAAAUGGUUUGAAAAGCAUUGUUCUGUUCAACAAACACAGAG